GAGGACACCCCCGAGUAGAGACUCAAAUGGAUGUCCUGCCUGAGUGUCCCGCCGAACUACACCUGCAUACUAUGGGCACUACACAGGCAAGAUCCAGCACCCAUGAUGAACUGACCACAGGCCCCCGAGAUGACCAUGUAACUUCCCACUGCAAAGUAGCAGCUCUGUCCUUAAAUGUUUUACUCCCACUAGCCACUUGACAGGAUGGAAUGGUGGCCUGGUGCCAUUAGUAUUAAAUCAUAAUGUGGCUGCGAAAAGUUACACCUGCAGGAUAUUGUGCCCUUAGUUUAACUCAGCUAGACCGGUGAGCCUCGGUUAGCUACAGCAUGCUAAAUUGUUUUAAAGUAUUCUAUUCUGUGAAAAGCGCCCCACUACUCUCUGCAACAGGGCCUGGUCUCCCAGUGGCAAUAACAGUUUGUACCUUUCUAAGGUUUCACUAGCCUAUUAUAAUAACCUGUAACAACGCAAGCUCCUAGCAAACCAUGUCUUAGACCCGAUCUUAGUGAUGCUAAACGGUUG